UAACGAGUGUUUAUGGCACUCUAAAAAUCCAUACCCACCUUGUGUGCAGCGUUAAGAGUCUUUUGUCUCUCUCUGAGGGCACGAGAUUUCUUUUAAUUAAUCUACCUUAAACCAGUUUGUCUGAAGCAUUGUAUCAUGAAUAACAUAAUUCAAAAUA
rnacentral:misc_RNA from 1 species